rnacentral:rRNA from 1 species
GGGGUGACGGCGUGCCUUUUGAAGAAUGAGCCUGCGAGUUAGUGCUCUGUGGCGAGGUUAACCCGUGUGGGGCAGCCGUAGCGAAAGCGAGUCCGAAUAGGGCGAUUCAGUCGCAGGGUCUAGACCCGAAGCGAAGUGAUCUAUCCAUGGCCAGGUUGAAGCGACGGUAAGACGUCGUGGAGGACCGAACCCACUUCAGUUGAAAAUGGAGGGGAUGAGCUGUGGAUAGGGGUGAAAGGCCAAUCAAACUUCGUGAUAGCUGGUUCUCUCCGAAAUGCAUUUAGGUGCAGCGUUGCGUGUUUCUUGCCGGAGGUAGAGCUACUGGAUGGCCGAUGGGGCCCAAAAGCUUACUGACGUCAGCCAAACUCCGAAUGCCGGUAAGUGAGAGCGCAGCAGUGAGACUGUGGGGGAUAAGCUUCAUAGUCGAGAGGGAAACAACCCAGACCACCAACUAAGGUCCCUAAGCGCGUGCUAAGUGGGAAAGGAUGUGGAGUUGCACAGACAACCAGGAGGUUGGCUUAGAAGCAGCCACCCUUGAAAGAGUGCGUAAUAGCUCACUGGUCAAGUGAUUCCGCGCCGACAAUGUAACGGGGCUCAAGCACGCCACCGAAGUUGUGGCAUUGACAUUAGUGGUAGGCCUUCGUGGUCCAGCCGUGUUGAUGGGUAGGAGAGCGUCGUGUGGCGAGUGAAGCGGCGGUGUGAACCAGCCGUGGAUGCCACACGAGUGAGAAUGCAGGCAUGAGUAGCGAAAGACGGGUGAGAAACCCGUCCUCCGGAAGACCAAGGGUUCCAGGGUCAAGCUAAUCUUCCCUGGGUAAGUCGGGACCUAAGGCGAGGCCGACAGGCGUAGUCGAUGGACAACGGGUUGAUAUUCCCGUACCGGCGAAGAACCGCCCAAGACAAUCCAGUAGUGCUAAGUAUCUGAAUCCCUUUGAUGGAUCCCUUCGGGGUGAAGCGUUGGGCCUAGCGUACGACCCCGUGCUGGUGCGUUUAGCGUAUUAACAGGUGUGACGCAGGAAGGUAGCCGAGCCGGGCGAUGGUUGUCCCGGUCUAAGGAUGUAGGGCGAACGAUAGGCAAAUCCGUCGUUCAUACAGCCUGAGAUCUGAUGGGUAGACGCAAGUCGAAAUCGGUGAUCCUAUGCUGCCAAGAAAAGCAUCGACGCGAGGUUCUAGCUGCCCGUACCCCAAACCG